AACCUGCGGAGGGAUCAUUAGAGAGUAUAAAAACUCCCAACCCAUGUGAACAUACCUACGUUGCCUCGGCGGGGGCCUAAACCCCCCCCCGCCGUGGCCCAGUAAACUCUGUUUUAUUCUGAAAUUCUGAAUCUUAAAGCAAAUAAGUUAAAACUUUCAACAACGGAUCUCUUGGUUCUGGCAUCGAUGAAGAACGCAGCGAAAUGCGAUAAGUAAUGUGAAUUGCAGAAUUCAGUGAAUCAUCGAAUCUUUGAACGCACAUUGCGCCCAUUAGUAUUCUAGUGGGCAUGCCUGUUCGAGCGUCAUUAAUACCAUUAAGCCCUGUAGCUUAGCGUUGGGAGCCUGCGGCUGCAGCUCCUCAAAACUAGUGGCGGAGUCAGCGUAUACUCUAGGCGUAGUAAUAACCCACUCGCUUCUGCGUUGCGCUGGCGCCUGCCGUAAAACAACCCAUUUCUAAAGGUUGACCUCGGAUCA
rnacentral:rRNA from 1 species